UUUGAUGUAGGUUUCUACAGGGGAGCUGUAAUAGCUUACUACUUAGUUGCAUUUGGCUCCAGGCCUCCCUCUCCUCUCUGUGUGGAUAAGGAUAUAUUGUGACUGAAGGGCUGCACAGGUGUCCCACUGUUGUCGGAUGGAUGGCCUUCUGAAGCCAGAUUGUGGAACUGCUCCAGCAAGUCACCAUGUUUUUGUGCAUUUCUCGGACCUCUGAAGGUAAAAUGAACUCAAGCCAAGGCUGUAAAGGUUAUAUGUGAAUGCUACCGGAGUAGACAUCUUCAAAGAAACAUGCUAAUAAUAUAAUUUUGAACACAAGAUAGGGAUACCUGCACUAAAACAGAACUAUUUUCAGGUGAAGAAAAUCAAAGAGCAGUCGCCACUGAUGUGUAACACUAACAGAAGGAGGCAAAAUAAAACCUGCCACUUCA